UGGCUCCCUUGUAAAUAUGAUUUUGGGUUUUUUCACACAAAAAAUUCAAUAAAUUAAUUUUAUUUAAAAAUUUGUAAGUUCUUAAUUUAUCAAAGAAACAAAGUAACCAAUUCUAUCCUUGAUGUUUGAUACAGAAGUCGAUGUCCUAGAAUAUGGUAGGAAAUACUUACAAGGGAACAUCACAUCCGAUGUGUUUGGGAUUUUGCCAAUAUUUUGUCAUCUGAAAGAGCAUAAAGAGUGGAUGAGGAAUCACCCUUAUAUUGGGGGCCACUACUCUAGCGUUUUCAAGAAAAUCACUUUUGAAAUUUCGGAAAUUUUUUGUUUUGCUUGAGUAGCGAACGCUCGGACAUUCGACUGUGUGUUGUGGUGGUGUGGUGGCUGCGUUGGGGUGCCGAGGAUCGGAGGUUGUAG
rnacentral:lncRNA from 1 species